UGCGUAGGGGGCAAGCGUUGUCCGGAUUUAUUGGGCGUAAAGCGCUCGCAGGUGGUUCAUUGCGUCGUGCGUGAAAGACCCCGGCUCAACUGGGGAGGGUCGUGCGAAACGGGUGAACUAGAGGCCAGUAGGGGGAUGCGGAAUUCCGGGUGUAGUGGUGGAAUGCGUAGAGAUCCGGAGGAACACCAGCGGCGAAGGCGGCAUCCUGGACUGGUCCUGACACUCAGGAGCGAAAGCGUGGGGAGCGAUCCGG
rnacentral:rRNA from 1 species